rnacentral:rRNA from 1 species
ACUACGACUCUCAACAAUGGAUAUCUCGGCUCUCGCUUCGAUGAAGAACGUAGUGAAAUGCGAUACCUUGUGUGAAUUGCAGAAUCCCGUGAAUCAUCGAAUCUUUGAACGCAAGUUACGCCUGAGGCCUAGGCUGAGGGCACGUCUGCCUGGGUGUCGUGAAA